rnacentral:lncRNA from 1 species
CUGAAAAAACGUUGUGGUUGGCCUCAGAAUCAAUCGGUCAUCUCCGACUUUUCCCGGGACUCAUCGCCAUGACGUCACGAUUAACGCCCACAGCGCGUACCAUAUAUAAGCUCCAGCAUUUCGACGUGGAGCAAAAAACGCUCGAACCAGAUCGACAUCAACAGCGUUCUUCGUAAUAGCGCAAACAUGAGGGGAUUUGCUUUCGUUGCACUCGUCAUUGUGGCUGUGGGGUGCUUGGUGAGUGACGUCAUGGCCCAGUCCACAAGCGAAAUCAGCUGCUCCGCCCCUCUGCUCGCGAAACGUAACUUUUAUUUUGAGUGCCGCCGUCAAAACAAACAGAUGACCAUGACCGGAAAUGGCAUGCCAGGCGACUGCUUCUGGCUGUGCAGAAACUACUAGCCCUAUCAGGACUUCUCGUAGAUGUCAUCAUCGGAGAGUGGUCUCACCUUGAAGUCAUGAUUAUUCAGAAUAUUCAGGUCAAUAAAUACUGCACAGCUUA